rnacentral:rRNA from 1 species
UAGUAAUGAAUUUUAAAUCAUAACAAAAACAAAACUUUUAACAACGGAUCUCUUGGCUCUCGCAUCGAUGAAGAACGCAGCGAAAUGCGAUAAGUAAUGUGAAUUGCAGAAUUCAGUGAAUCAUCGAAUCUUUGAACGCACCUUGCGCCCUUUGGUAUUCCGAAGGGCAUGCCUGUUUGAGUGUCAUGAAACCUCACCCCACUUGGGUUUUUGCCUGAGCGGUGGUGUAUUGGGUGUUGCCUUGGUAAAGGCUCGCCUUAAAGACAUAAGCACCUUGGAUGUAUUACGUUUCAUCCUUCUGGGUGGCUGAUAACCCCACAUAUUCAUGAUCUGGCCUCAAAUCAGGU